rnacentral:rRNA from 1 species
UACGUAGGGUGCAAGCGUUGUCCGGAAUUAUUGGGCGUAAAGAGCUCGUAGGCGGUUUGUCGCGUCUGCUGUGAAAACCCGAGGCUCAACCUCGGGCCUGCGGUCGAUACGGGCAGGCUCGAGUUCGGUAGGGGAGACUGGAAUUCCUGGUGUAGCGGUGAAAUGCGCAGAUAUCAGGAGGAACACCGAUGGCGAAGGCAGGUCUCUGGGCCGAUACUGACGCUGAGGAGCGAAAGCGUGGGGAGCAAACAGG